UACGAAGUGGGCUAGCGUUGCUCGGAAUCACUGGGCGUAAAGGGUGCGUAGGCGGGUCUUUAAGUCAGGGGUGAAAUCCUGGAGCUCAACUCCAGAACUGCCUUUGAUACUGAGGAUCUUGAGUCCGGGAGAGGUGAGUGGAACUGCGAGUGUAGAGGUGAAAUUCGUAGAUAUUCGCAAGAACACCAGUGGCGAAGGCGGCUCACUGGCCCGGUACUGACGCUGAGGCACGAAAGCGUGGGGAGCAAACAGG
rnacentral:rRNA from 1 species